rnacentral:rRNA from 1 species
UACGGAGGGUGCUAGCGUUGUUCGGAAUCACUGGGCGUAAAGGGCGCGUAGGCGGCGCCGGCAGUCGGCCGUGAAAGCCCGGGGCUCAACCCCGGAGGUGCGGCCGAGACGCCGGUGCUGGAGGCCGGAAGAGGAGGGUGGAAUACCCAGUGUAGAGGUGAAAUUCGUAGAUAUUGGGUGGAACACCGGUGGCGAAAGCGGCUCUCUGGUCCGGACCUGACGCUGAGGCGCGAAAGCGUGGGGAGCAAACAGG